AACCCUUUCUCCACGAACCCACUCCAGAUUGCUCCAUUCAUUCCGUAAGAAGGAGAAAAAAUCGCCACUGAUCGUCCCUUCCUUCUGGUUCAGCCGUCACCAGGUGUGUGUUAAGGGAGGAUCGGACACGCGUGUGCCAGGGAGGAUGCUGCCACCACGCUCUUCGAAGAUGUGCGGAGUCGUCGUGCCUGUACGGUUGACACCUCUACCACCGUCGCUGCCUUCGAGGAGGAUUCGUGCCUGCAUCUUAAUGUUCGCCAAGCCCAUUACAUCGCUGGUUCAGGACACACAACAAAACAAAUCUGAACCUCAGUGACAUAUUUGCUGGGAGAGAAGGAGGAUAAAAAGUGCUGGUCCUCUUCACAGGAUAGGUACAGACUUGGCUAAGCGAUUACUGCUGCUGCGGUUCAUCUACAAUGAUUUUGGACAUUGAUUCUUGUUUUACCCUUAUUAUUACCAUUUGCCAACUUAACCAUUUCCAUCUCUCAUGUUAAUUCUGAAGACCUUUUAUGUAUCAUGUAUCCAAGCAGGCUGCAUGUGACGUGAAUCAAGGUAACUAUAUGAUGUAGUGAAGUAUAAACUCCUCUCCCUAUAAUAUGCAGCCUUCAAACCAUAGAUUUGUGAAUUUUAUGCCAGCUGGGCCUCUUUCAUUUUAAUGCUUGACUCCUAAUAUUUCAUUUCUCCAAGCUUUUGAGUUCUAAUAUUGUUCUGUAUUAUGAGCUCUUGAACAUUUGCCUGCACAACAAUGAUCUAUAAUAAUUCCCUUCUAAGCCUAGAGAUAGUUGUACACAUCAUUUAUUCAAUCCUAAAUUACUCUAUGCUCUGAAUUACUCCCGUGGUGCAUUUUAUGUCCCCCUUACAUCUAUAUCUAUGUCUUCUUACUCAUAUACAUGCUUUCCCAUGUAAUCAUCCUUAACAAUUGUCAUGUUCAAUCUGUAACUACUUAUCAGGGUAUUUUCUGAUUUUUUUAUGUUGCCGCUUACUGAUCUUACGACAUGGAGAGGAGAGGCCAAGUAGCAGCAAGCAUGCAGCUAUGUCAUGCAAACAAACUGAUACUGCAGAAAGUCACUGAUUGUACAAAACCAGAAAAACAAAUUGCAGCGCAAGCAUGCAAAGAGACAAUUGCGCGAAUCACACACAUAUUCAAAUAAUAAGGCAGUGAGAGGCUUUAUAUUAGGCGGUGUACUGCAACAAGGUGCCUCCCUCCAUCAUCAUUCCAUUCUUCUCCUGUUUCCUAUCUGUCAGCCGCACCUACAACCGGUGCCCCAAUCUAGCUCGACAAUUGACGGCGGCUACAUCUGUUGUGGCCGGCAGCGAGGCAAGCCCUCCUUCUAAACCAUGUAUGUUGAUUUCAAAUAGUAGAACUAAUUCAUACUUUGAAGUUGUUUGUUAAUCAGGCUUCCAUGGACGUUGAUUUCCAUUAAACAGUAUUUUGCGAACUUCUUGUUCUCUGCAAAUUUUGGAUGCCGCCGAUCAGUGUGACGCCCAAAUCCUGGUGGCAAGUCUUUUUCUAAUUGAGAGAAUUAUUUAGGUGCUAAUUCAAACAGCAUGUCUAUAGGAUCCCGGUCUGGAAAACUAGAUGGUGUAUGGAUUCAGAGAUGAACAUGACGAACGAUAGAAGGUCGAUUUGGAUUAUUCUUGGUCCAUAACUUUCAAUUAUUCCACUGCCACACAACUGUGCUUGUGCUGGCAGGGAGAGAAGGAGAAGUAAGGCGUUGUGGGCAGGGACUGGCUGUGGGUACAAGAAGGCCAGAUAUGAGAUGGUGGAAAGGAUGCACGCAGGAGAAGAGAACAGACUGCAACGGAAGGCAGUUUGAGAUGUAGUAGUGGACGCCUCUUCCAUGAUAUUCAGUGAUGCCGCACACGUCCUCUCAUCUCGUCACGAACGGCCUGGAUGUGGCAGCUGCCGUCAACAUCCCAACCGUCACCAGCACGACGUGUUGAAUGACAUUGGCAUCGUCUCACUGGGGCAGCAGCUCAACACCGGCAUUAUUCUGAGAACAAUUGUCACUGAAUUGCUUUCAAGGCGGAUGUUCCAUAGACAAACAAGCAUGCAAUCAACACUGCAUGAUUUCAAUUGGUUUCCAAUGUACGUAGCAUGUCUAUCUGGUUAUUUUGCUUUUUGGUUUGUGCACUCAUGGAACGAGAAAGAAUUGAACCAACCAAUUUGCAGGGUGAAUAUUUAAUAUUUCAUUUUUUUAUUCUACCUCAUGAAAACUCUAAAGAUAAUGACCUGUGGUUCUCCUAAAGUAUAGUUGUGAGAUAAGAAUUUUGGUGCAUCUAAUCAACUACACUGAGAAUGAAGCCGCAUACAACAUGCACCCCUUAUGUUGUACAAGAAUUGGUUAGUGUAUUAAGACAUACUAAGGUAAUCAGGUGUCUUCACUCCAUGCAUAUGAUGCUAAAUUGUAGAGUUGCUUGAAAAUCAUUUAAAUUAUAGGUUGGUUGUCAUAUUUUCUAGUGUAAUCAUAAUAUCUUUAGAAUUUGCAUAUCUGGUUGUAACAUCAGUCGAGGCGUGCAUUGCUUGUGCACGCUUACUAUAUUCCUUGUGUAUGAAGCUGCAAUUGAAAUAUGUAUGCUAUAGCAUGUAUGUGAGCUUACAUUAUUUGUUUUAUAAUUGCUGAUUAUGAUUAGAAAUAA